rnacentral:rRNA from 1 species
CAGCCGCCGCGGUAAUACAGAGGGUGCGAGCGUUAAUCGGAUUUACUGGGCGUAAAGCGUGCGUAGGCGGCUUUUUAAGUCGGAUGUGAAAUCCCUGAGCUUAACUUAGGAAUUGCAUUCGAUACUGGGAAGCUAGAGUAUGGGAGAGGAUGGUAGAAUUCCAGGUGUAGCGGUGAAAUGCUUAGAGAUCUGGAGGAAUACCGAUGGCGAAGGCAGCCAUCUGGCCUAAUACUGACGCUGAGGUACGAAAGCAUGGGGAGCAAACAGGAUUAGAUACCCGAGUAGUCCCUGUCUCUUAUAC